rnacentral:rRNA from 1 species
GACGAACCGUGCGAACGUUGUUCGGAAUCACUGGGCUUAAAGGGCGCGUAGGCGGCUCGACAAGUCGGGGGUGAAAUCUUUCGGCUCAACCGGAAAAGGGCCUCCGAUACUGUCGAGCUCGAGGGAGGUAGGGGCGGACGGGAACUUCCGGUGGAGCGGUGAAAUGCGUUGAUAUCGGAAGGAACGCCGGUGGCGAAAGCGGUCCGCUGGCCCGUCUACUGACGCUGAGGCGCGAAAGCCAGGGGAGCCAAAGCGGGAUUAAGCAAACCC